AUGGCCUCCUCUCCCUCCUUGUUUCUCCUCGCCGUGCUUCUUGCGCUGGUCUCAUGGCAGGCCACUGCCUAUGAUCCUAGCCCUCUGCAAGACUUCUGCGUCGCCGACAUGAAGUCACCUGUGCGAGUAAAUGGAUUUCCUUGCAAGGACCCAAUGGCCGUCAACCCGGAAGAUUUCUUCAAUCCAGCCAUGCUUGACCAACCUAGGGAUACUAAGAACAGCAAGGUUGGGUCCAACGUCACCAACAUUAACGUCAUCAACUUUCCUGGCCUCAACACCCUUGGUAUCUCGCUGGCACGCAUCGACUAUGGACCAUUGGGCGUGAACACCCCGCAUAUACAUCCCCGUGCCACUGAGCUCCUUACUGUGCUUGAGGGAACUCUCUACCUUGGAUUUGUCACAUCCAACCCAAAUAGGCUCUUCUCCAGGGUGGUCAAGAAGGGUGACGUAUUUGUGUUCCCGAAGGCAAUGAUCCACUUCCAAAUGAAUCUAGCGCAUGACAAGCCAGCAGCUGCGUUGUCGUCACUCAGCAGCCAAAACCCAGGAGUUAUUUCUAUUGCCAAUGCAGUCUUUGGAUCAAACCCACCCAUUUCGGAUGAUGUUUUGGCCACGGCGUUUCAGGUGGAAAAGAAACUGAUUGAUUGGCUCCAAUCUCAGUUCUGGGAGAAUAACCACUACUAA
rnacentral:rRNA from 1 species